UAGCUCUCUCCGAAUCUUCUCCACAACUCUGCCAUAUUCCCACCUGUGUAUUUGGCUUCCUGCAGCAAAUACCACAACAAGCCAGGGCCUGUAGCCAGCAUGGUUUCCUGCAAGAACUGGAUGGCCCGAACG
rnacentral:lncRNA from 1 species